rnacentral:rRNA from 1 species
GACGAACGCUGGCGGCGUGCUUAACACAUGCAAGUCGAACGGAAAGGCCCCUUUGGGGGUACUCGAGUGGCGAACGGGUGAGUAACACGUGAGUAACCUGCCCUUGACUUCGGGAUAACUUCAGGAAACUGGGGCUAAUACCGGAUAGGAAUCCUUGCUGCAUGGUGGGGGUUGGAAAGCUUCGGCGGUUUUGGAUGGACUCGCGGCUUAUCAGCUUGUUGGUGGGGUAGUGGCUUACCAAGGCGUUGACGGGUAGCCGGCCUGAGAGGGCGACCGGCCACAUUGGGACUGAGAUACGGCCCAGACUCCUACGGGAGGCAGCAGGGGGGAAUAUUGCACAAUGGGCGGAAGCCUGAUGCAGCAACGCCGCGUGCGGGAUGACGGCCUUCGGGUUGUAAACCGCUUUCAGCAGGGGCGAAGCUUGUGGUGACGGUACCUGCAGAAGAAGCACCGGCUAACUACGUG